ACGGAGGAUCCGAGCGUUAUCCGGAUUUAUUGGGUUUAAAGGGAGCGUAGGUGGAUUGUUAAGUCAGUUGUGAAAGUUUGCGGCUCAACCGUAAAAUUGCAGUUGAAACUGGCAGUCUUGAGUACAGUAGAGGUGGGCGGAAUUCGUGGUGUAGCGGUGAAAUGCUUAGAUAUCACGAAGAACUCCGAUUGCGAAGGCAGCUCACUAGACUGUCACUGACACUGAUGCUCGAAAGUGUGGGUAUCAAACAG
rnacentral:rRNA from 1 species